rnacentral:tRNA from 1 species
GGCUACGUAGCUCAGCUGGCUAGAGCAUUCGGUUCAUACCCGAACGGUCAUAGGUUCGACUCCUAUCGUAGCCACCA